CUGUUCAUAUACACUUUCAGUUUCUUAUUUAUUUUGUGAAAAUACCUCAUUUCUAAUCUCAAAAGGCACAUUUUGAAGCUUAUCAGCAACGACUUGAACCAGGAGAAGAGAGGUCCUGUGAAGCCUGACAAGUGAGAAGCAUCUGGACAAAAGGGAAAAGGCUCUAGCAAUCUUCUGCUGUUUUAAAAUGAGGUCCUUAAUGCCAGAGACUGCAGCUUCUGGUCUCAGAGGAAUUCAGACAGGAAGCUUACCUUCAAGAGAGAACCAAGAAAGAGGAACAGCCAAAGAUGGCCUCUGGCAACAAGGGGGAAAAAAAAAGAAAUGUCCUUAAGGAAUCUGCCAUAUACAAAUGCAAAUACCAUUUUACUUCCAAAAACUAACGACUCGACUCGAAAACAUGACCAUUUUACCCUUUGGGAUUCUUGACUCAAGUAGUUUUCUAACUAUUUGAAUAACUGAGUACUAUCUUCACAUCUUGGCGUUUCACUUCUUGGAAAUAAUGGGCCCACUAAUUUC